CCUACGGGCGGCAGCAGUGAGGAAUAUUGGUCAAUGGGCGAGAGCCUGAACCAGCCAAGUCGCGUGAGGGAGUACUGCCCUAUGGGUUGUAAACCUCUUUUGUCGGGGAGCAAAAGCCGGACGUGUCCGGCUGUGAGAGUACCCGAAGAAAAAGCACCGGCGAACUCCGUGCCAGCCGCCGCGGGAAUACGGAGGAUGCGAGCGUUCUCCGGAUUUAUUGGGUUUCAGGGGGGCGAAGGCGGAUUUGUAAGUCAGCGGUCAAAGCGUGGGGCUCAACCCCAUCCAGCCGUUGAAACUGGGGUUCUAGACUGUGCGAGCGGUAUGCGUCAUGCGUUGUGUCGCUGUGACCUGCAUAGAUCUCACGCAGAACCCCGAUUGCGCCGGCAGCAUACCGGUGCACACCUGACGCUCAGGCACGAACGCGUGGGUAUCGAAC
rnacentral:rRNA from 1 species